GUGUUUGGCCCAUGUGGAAGCGUUCAUUGACUUCAGUGAGGAUGAGCUCAUCGAGGAUGGGGUCUUAAAUCAAGUGGAUGAGUCCUUGUCUCAGCUGUUGCAGGAGAUUGAGGAGCACCUGAGUGACGAGCGCAAAGGAGAACGCCUACGCAGUGGCGUGCAGGUGGUGAUCGCCGGGGCAACCAACGCAGGCAAGAGCAGCCUGCUCAACCUGCUGUGCCAGCGCCCUGCAGCCAUCGUGUCUCCAGUGGCCGGGACCACCAGAGACGUAGUGGAGACGUGUGUGGACAUUGGCGGGUUUCCUGUCCUGCUCAGUGACACUGCGGGCUUAAGAGACACUCUGGAUAGUGUGGAGAGAGGGGGGGUGCGGCGGGCCCGUGAGAGGCAAGCACAACUACAUUUGCUUGUCAUACCACUUACACAACCAAUGUAAACAUAUCGUGUUAUAACUCAGUGAUAUAACAGUGUCAUAUUAACAGUACCAGUAUUUGUCAUAACAACAUGUUUUAAUUCAUAUGACUGCUUAGUAGCAUGUGACAUAAUCUGUUAUGACAUACUUAAUGUUAGGCAUUGUAAUUAUUCACAAUAUUAGUAAAAUGAGGCUGUGAUAUCCUUGAGUGACUGCAUGACAUCUGCCAUGCUAUUUUUUAUGACAUCAGGAAUUGGCGGAGGGUCCAAGUUCAGUGAUAUGUACUACAGACUUUUGUUUAAACUAAUUUACAACACAGAGACAUGUAGCACAGUGCGAGGUUCUUAUCAGUACUCCCAAGGAAGUGUUGGUCUGGCAUCUCUAGUGUUGUGACCUCAUUCCAUUCCGAUCACCUAUGGAAUUUCAAGAGCCACAAACAAGGCUAUUAGAAUCUGGAACAUUUUAAGUAAACAGUCUGAAGGGUUUCGUUUUUGUUGUGUCAAUUACAGUACAUAAGAGAGAGUGAGAACAGUACUGCGUGUUCUACAUGU